CCACCAACGCGUUGUGCAUCGUGCGAUGCAACCGGUGACAUCAAAUGCAAUAUUUGCGCUACCGUUACUAAUCCGGGCGAGGGCGAUCAGACUUGCCGUGUGUGCAAGAAAGUUCUAAUCGAGAAUGCCGAGGGUGCGGGAGUGGGUGACGGCCAUGGCGAUGGCGAGGGUCAAGGUCAGGAUGAUGGUGAUAGGGCGAGGAUGAGGAUGCGGUGUAGGAUGUGAAAUAUAUCGGAUUUGAUUUUUAAGUACACGUUUGGAGAGAGUGUUGUAUGGUUCCAAAUUAAGAACAAUCAUCAAGGGCCCUCCUCCUAAGGGUGUGGAGUACUCUGAUAAUGAUUUAGUUUUUGUUUUCAUAGAUGCUAAUUAAAUAGGAACCAACAAUUUUGGGGUGAUAUCAUAGCUUUAUCAGCUGGCACAAGCUUGGUACAUUUUAUGAGAUCACUACUUAUCAUGUUAAAUAUUAGGUCUUUGGCAAGGAGGCAGAAGACAGACAUCUUGAUAUGUGUUCAUGGAAGGUAUUUUCAUCUGCACAAGGGCUUUGGGUGUUUUCAUUCAUCAUAUUCCUCGGAUUUGGCGUGACAAUGUUUCAGCACUAGCCAUUGCCACAAAUCAUGUCCAGGGGCAGAACAUAUAUGAAUUCAAAACAAAUCAUGAAGAAUGGGUAAAUUUAGUCAAACCCAAGCUAGGACCUGAUGUGUCUGAUCGAGUUCUUGCAGCAAUUAAUACCACACACGAGAACAUUAAAAUUUUAUAUAAAGUCAGAAUUGUGAUGUGGGCUGCCCUUCAAAAUCUCUUAAAGGAGAUUGGAAGCUUGACUUUUGACAAAGAUGAUCAGUUAGCUAAGGAGUUUGUUAUUGCUGCUGCAAAUACAAGGAUGUCUUCUUUUUUGAACCUCUUUGCAUAGCCUAUUUAAAGCCAAAGGUCCAGAACAACACCAUAUACUGAAGCUGAGGGAUGUGUAUGGAGGCCACUUUAGUAGACAAUGAUUUGCGUUACAGAUGUGCUCUUGUGAUUCAUGGAAUGCAAUCAUGUCAUUUUGUAGGAGGUUAAACAAGAAUGAAUGAUCCACAAGAGACACACACUUUGUUCCAAAUCAGUUAUGAAAUGAGGUACAUUGUUUAUGAAAUAAGGCAUCAAAAGAACUUAGUGAUUAAUGAGAUCUCAUGCACAUUGAAGAGGACCCAACUAUAGAUGUCUGGAUGGUAGAUGUGAGUCAUUGUGUUUUUAAAAUUUCCAAUGAAUUGGUCUUGAAGGUAGAUGAACAAUGUAAAUUUAAGAGUGUAAAGAGCAGUAGGCAAAGUAGUUGAGUUGUAUUGAUUUUUACAGUUUAUUUGUUAUUAAAUUUUGAUUAAUGUGAAA